UGACAAGAGAACCAUUUAAUGUAAUGAAAGAAACCACACCAUAUCACAGCAUGAAGCCGCCAGGCAGCUAAUGCAGCGGCCAUAACAAUUUUAAUUGCAAGGAUCGCAUCGGCCCAACAGUGCGAUGGUCUAACUGCCAACAAAAUCAUACUCCACACCAUUUAAUUAUUUUUUUGUUUUCGUUUCGUACUACAAUAGCCUACUUCAUUUUGAUGUCGGCUAUAUUUGUAAUUAAUUUUCUGACCAAUUUGUACAUAAUAAGCUGCUAAUGUUACUGUAUUAUAAAAAUGUAAAAAUGAGCUUAAGACUCAAUAAAUGUUUAAUAAACUUUCAUUUAUAUGCGAAGAGACUGACCAUUGACAUUAUUUAAAUAAAUACUAAUUAUCAAACCAUUGUUUCUAUUAUAUUAAUCAGUUUUUUUUUGCUUGCAAGGACUACCUGUGGUGAUGUCUGGUAUAUAAUAUUUAGUAUUUUUUCUAUUCUGUCAUUUGAAUGUGAAUUGUGAAUUGUAAAUAUGAAAGUUGUAUCUUAAAACAUAUAUUUAAAAUUAUUAUUAGUCGAAUUUUGAAUGUAUGUAUGUAUGUAUCUCACAAAAUGUAAUAUUUUCGUAUGAUGAUAUGAUGUUCAAAUUGUUAAUAUAUCUUGAUAUUAUUAUUUUCCUCGUGCUUUUUACAUGUAACAACGUAAAUAAAUUGUUUCCUUUA